rnacentral:rRNA from 1 species
CAAUAGCGUAUAUUAAAGUUGUUGCAGUUAAAAAGCUCGUAGUUGGAUUUCGGGGCCCCGGGCGUUCGUUGCGUUUCCUGUUGGAUUCGUCUGGCGGGUGCGUGGCGGUCGUCGGUCUCUGAGUCGGAUCGGUCCGCCGAGAGGCGUGCACUGACCGACGGCCCCCGUUGUCUCUCGGGUUGCCCGCCUGCACUUAAUUGCUGCGGACGGGGAGUUCGGGACGUUUACUUUGAACAAAUUAGAGUGUUCCAAGCAGGCCGUUGCUUUGAAUACAUUAGCAUGGAAUAAUGGAAUAGGGCUGCGUGACUCGUUGCCUUCGGGUGGCGGGUCCUCGUGUCCUAUUUUGUUGGUUUUCGGGACCGCAGUCAUGGUCAAGAGGGACAGUUGGGGGCAUUCGUAUUCAGUUGUCAGAGGUGAAAUUCUUGGAUUUACGGAAGACGAACAACUGCGAAAGCAUUUGCCAAGGAUGUUUUCAUUAA